GCCGAGCUGGCGGAACGGUAGACGCCGCGGUCUUAAACACCGCUGGGGGCUUGCCCCCGUCUGGGUUCGAAUCCCGGGCUCGGCA
rnacentral:tRNA from 1 species